UUCAGUUUGGGAUCGUGUUUUCCAGCCAUUGUGUAUGAUGGAGUAUUGUCAAGACGAACUUUCUCAGGACAAUAAGCGCCUGGUGCCGGUGUGUCGCUGGGCUUUUGUAAGUUGUGACGACCGCCCAUGGAAUACGCAGGUGCGUGAUCGAAUCUCACCUUCUCAGGACAGUAGUCUCCAGGCGCAGGUGUGUCGUUAUUCGGCUUGGGAUCAUGUUUUCCAGCCAUUGUAUAUGAUGGAGUAUUGUCAAGACGAACUUUCUCAGGACAAUAAGCGCCUGGUGCCGGUGUGUCGCUGGGCUUUUGUAAGUUGUGACGACCACCCAUGGAAUACGCAGGUGUGUGAUCGAGUCUGACCUUCUCCGGACAAUAAUCCCCAGGCGCGGGUGUGUCGUUAUUCAGCUUGGGAUCAUGUUUUCCAGCCAUUGUGUAUGAUGGAGUAUUGUCAAGACGAACUUUCUCAGGACAAUAAGCGCCUGGUGCCGGUGUGUCGCUGGGCUUUUGUAAGUUGUGACGACCACCCAUGGAAUACGCAGGUGUGUGAUCGAGUCUGACCUUCUCAGGACAGUAAUCUCCAGGCGCGGGUGUGUCGUUAUUCAGUUUGGGAUCAUGUUUUCCAGCCAUUGUGUAGGAUGGGGUGUUGUCAAGACGAACUUUCUCAGGAC